UGAGGCUGUCCUGGAACUUGAGAUCCUCUUGUGUUAGCUUCCUGAGUGGCUAGGAUUCCAGGUGUGCACCACUAUGCCUGCCUGUGGGAAAUAUUUUUAACUAAGGAAAUCAAAGUGUUUGGCUUUGCUUGCUCUUUUCCAGACCAUGCAGGAAGCUAUUUAUGUUCAUAAGCUGUUGAAUUUUACCAUGCAAUACUAGAUUCUUUUAAUUACUUAACAUUAAGCACACAAGUCGCAAAACUAGCUGUAGAAUUUCUUUUUUCCUUUUUGUUAAAUCUUGAAAAUUUGAGCUCAUCAUUAAUAUUCUAGGCCCUUAUAUACUCUCAAUAGUUUUGCUAAAAUUAUUACUGUUUCAGUAAACUACUUGUAAGUUUACCUAGAAGAAUCAGUUUCAUUUAAAUUAGUGAAGAACUUUCCAAACACCUAGCCCAGAUUCAAUUCUAUCUUACCAUCUUUCCUGCUGAAAAGACCUAGAUUCUGUCAGCCAACUGAUUAGCACAUAGGAUGUGACCAAUGUCCCCCAUUCCUCAUCCUGCCAUGUGUCUCCUCCCUGAGGUAAAAGUUACUUGUCCUGGGACAUAUGAGUUUUAUUACACUUGUUUCUAGUUAUUUAUUCUUGAAAUAAGAUUUCCAAUAAAGGAGUUCAACUCAUGCAAUUAAGUACUUAUCUGGGAACUUCUAUAAUAUUAAUGUUGUUUAACAGCUAUCGAUUGCUUCACCAGGCCAGGUGAUACAAAAUAAUACAGGACAUCAUGGAAAUGCACUAGUGCAGAGAAUUCAGAGAAAGCAACUUCAGAAUUUAGGGGGCAGUUGGAAAGCUUCAGCAGGGAGAUGGGUAAGAAGGUCACCUUUGAAGAGUGAGUAGGAUCUGAACAGGUAUGAGCACAGAUAGGAGACCUUAGUUGAGAGAGCAGCCAGUGCCAAGGUCAACAAGAACCAUUUUGUGGAGUGACAGUAGGUAGUUUAGAAGGUCAGAAAACCCAGGUCAUGAAUGAUUUUAAAGUCUACAAGAGUAUUUUUCAACAUGGUAGCUAAACAACAGAGUACACUCUUAGUUCAGUCUUUAUAUGUGUAUUUGCUGUCUCUGGUUCAACAGUAUCUCAUUACCACCAAGUUGUCAGCUCUUAUUUCAUGGCUGUGGGGCUGAGCAUCUGGUCAGACCAUUGAAUCACAUUAACAGCAGAAAGGCAAUAACAAGACUUUCCCCUUUUUUUUAAAUUCAAAUUAGUAAAAGUAGAUUUAUUGAACAAGAUCAGGAAUUGCUUAUCAUAAUCAAGAGCAUUUUGGUGAGGGAGAAUCAUCAUGGGCAGGCAGUCUGCAUAGCCCUGUGCAGUCUGCCGGCCAAACUCUCAAGGUCUAUUGAAUUGACGAUGCCCAAACCAGCUCUAGCUCUAUCAAGAGAGGUGUCAUACCAAGCUCUUUUCCCUAAAUACAUUAUUCUAAAAUAAGGAAAGUCAAGUUAAAAUGCAAUAGGUAUUUUUGAUAAUUUCAAGUUUCAUUUACACACGAUUUUGGAACUCUAUUUGAAGAGGCUUGACUUCAGGUGGGGGCUUCUAAUGCUUUAAUGUAGUAUCUCCACCUGUUCAGUUAUCAAUUUAGGUUGCAUUGACACAAAAUAAUACUUCAAAGGUAUUCAAUACAUUACUGAAAUUAUAUCACUGGUUGGUAUAAUUUCAUUUACAUUCUCUUUUUAAAGUUAAUAUUCGUUUCUGGGAAUUACUAUGUGGGAGUAAUGCAGCAUAUUAUAUUUGCAACAAGUAAGGUUGCCAGAGGCAGAAAUCUAGAGUAAUAUAUUCAUCCUAGUAAUAAAAUGUCUGCCAUAUAUCUGAGAAGCCUAUCCAAUAUUUCAUAUUAUGUCUGGUGAAAAUAAAGUUCACAGUAAAAUAUUCAUUGUAAGUAUUACACAUGAAAUUAUCCUGUCUUCAGAUUACAGUAAUUGUUUCUCCAUCCUGUGAGAAUUGCAAGAUAAUUUCCAUUUGUGGAAAACUCACCAAGGGUCCAAGUUAAAGAAGUUUCCCUUUCUUAUUCCCAGUCCCUCACCAUGACCUUACAGCCUAUGCGGCAUUCUAAUGUACCUGAGUCCACAUCCACAUAAGGGAAAGACUUGGAGGUAUUGAAAGAACAAUAAACAAGUAGGAGUUGUCAGGGAAUAGCAAGAUUUGGUGGUUAAACUUUUCAAAAAAUCCAAAAGAUGGUGAAAACCUCAGUUUUUCUCUAGAAGAUCUUCCAUGGCCAUCUUCUAAAAGCUCUUAUUUCUCCUCAGUAUGUUCAGUGUCUUAUAAACUGGGAGAGACUUUUGUCCAUUUUUAUGGCAGUAAUUAAACCUGGACCUUAAUUAUCCAAGCAGACAUAGCUUCUCUCCAUUCCUUUGUGGUACAGGUGUGCAAGAGAGGAAUGUGGAAAGCUGCCCCAGGUUCUUGAACUGUAGCUAAAAUAGACUCAGAACUCCUUGUUGUCAUCUUUCUGUUGAUAUUUUAAGAUCAAAAAUUACAUUUUAAAUCAGUUAAAAUCCAUAACUUAUUAUAAUUCAUUAAGAAGAGUUAGGAACAAACACAUAGGUUAUUAUUUUUGUUUGUUCCUGAUUAUAAUGAAAUCUCUACAUAGUGUUUAGGAUAGGAAGGAAUUGGUUUGACAGUGAAGUCUAAUUGUCAGACACUAGAAAACUCUUUGUUCAUAUGAUUUUUGUAUUAUAGAUUAGGAUACUGGUCUGUAUUCACUUGGGUGCCAGCUAAAGUUUCAGGUUUAUUUUGUCCUGAGACUAAUUAUGUGCUUAUUUUUCUUACACAUUGUUCAUUUAACAGGGAUUGAAAAAUCAUAGCAUUUUGUUUUUGUUUUGUUCUGUCUGUAUUUAUCUUUUCUUAUAGAUUAGUUUCCUCUGCAAUCUGUUUCCUUUAGACUCUGACAGGAAAGAUUUAAAUUAUACACUUAUUCAUGUAGUUAAAAAUAGAUACUGUUCAUUCAGAAUUAAUUAUCGUAAGUAGUUUGGUUUAAAAUGCUAUUGGUAAGACUUUUGUUUGUUUUAGUCCUUUUACUUUCUAGAAUUAAGAUGUUAGAAUUGAGCUAUAAAAUUUCCCAGGUUCUUCAACUUGGAAAAAUUUCAUAAAGAUAACUGACUUGCAAGGAAGUGCACUGAAAAUGACUGUUCCACAAGGGCUGACGUGCAGACUUGGGACCAGUACAUGCCUGCAUAGAAGGGGGAAGUCUCUCACAUCCAAGAGGUUAACCAGCCUUGUUCAGUCUUACUAAAUGGAUCAUCUUGUAGCAUGGAAGCAGACUGGAGUCAUUGCACAUACUUUGUAGCUUGUCAUUGUUACCUGGAUCAGAGGACAUUAGACCAAGAUGUUGCAUGAACGAAGGACCUGAAUUGUUCUAUUUUGUGUACACAUUAAGGCAUUGCUAUCUUCAAGGGACCCUUUGCCAUCUCAAUGCCUCCAUUUCAAACUGUUGUCUGCUUUCUUCUUCCUACUAAGCUGGAUCUGUGUCUUUUCCUUUUUAACCAAGUUCAAGUAAAGUAAAACUUUUUUUUCCCUUUCUUUCUCUUAAAGCUUCUGCUAGACACACAGUUCACUAAAUUUCAGUCAUUCACAAACUGGAAGAAUUAUAAAAGAAAAAAGCAUAUAUCAAUAAAUAUACAUAUGGCUUCACAAUUAUUAAACAAUAAAUUAGCACAGAAAGUUUCAUGUCACCGAUGUAUUCACAGUCCAAAACAAGCUCAUGUCUUUGUCUGAUGUCUGUACAUUCUCAGUUAAUGUUUCUUGCAUUUAUUUUUAUACCAUAUUUAAAUAAGAAACACCUUUUACUCCAAAUGUAUCAAAGUUGAACCCUUCUCUGUAAAUUUGUGUAUGUUUAUAUUGUUGUUUUAUCUUUCAUUAAAAGAUGCAGAAUCUC